rnacentral:rRNA from 1 species
AUUGAACGCUGGCGGCAGGCCUAACACAUGCAAGUCGAACGAGUGGCGGACGGGUGUGUAAGGUCUGGGAAACUGCCUGAUGGAGGGGGUAAACUACUGGAAACGGUAGCUAAUACCCCAUACCAUCGCAUGUGCCCAGAUGGGAUUAGCUUUUAGGUGGGGUAAAGGCUCACCUAGGCGACGAUCCCUAGCUGGUCUGAGAGGAUGACCAGCAACACUGGAACUGAGACACGGUCCAGACUCCUACGGGAGGCAGCAGGGGGAAAUAUUGCACAAUGGGCGCAAGCCUGAUGCAGCCAUGCCGCGUGUAUGAAGAGGGCCUUCGGGUUGUAAAGUACUUUCAGCGGGGAGGCGGUACCCGCAGAAGAAGCACCGGCUAACUCCGUGCCAGCAGCCGCGGUAAUUC